GGAUUAGUAGUCAAGUGGUUACGACAUAGCUCUUUCGAUGCUACCAUCGCAGGUUCGAUUCCUGCCUAGUCUA
rnacentral:tRNA from 1 species